UGAUCACCAUUCUCGACAUUGACCCGGAAGCCAUGCGCAACGCCGAGGCGAUCUGGUCGCUCGUCGAACAUCGUGCCGUCGACGUUAUCGGAGAUUUCUACGCCAGUGUGCGGAAAUCAGACGUUGAUCUGGUGUUAAGCGAUCAAACGAUUGAAUGCCUGACGAUAGAACAGAGAAUGCACUGGAACUCGCUUUUUAGGAGCCGGUUUGACCAGAAGUAUUUCAACAGCGCAUCACUCAUCG
rnacentral:misc_RNA from 1 species